rnacentral:lncRNA from 1 species
AAAGACCUCCAUACAUUCCACAAGAUAGUGGCCUCACCAGUUAAUUCUGAUGCUAAUAGAGGAUGCACCAAAUAUAGUAGGAAAAUGAUUGUUUGACUGUACCAGUCUAGAAGACGGGAAAGAGCAGUAUGCCUGACUGGAGGCACUGCCUUCCUUCUAUCAGUCACCCUGAAUGUGUCUUCUCUAUAGUAGUUAUACUAUCGCCACCCCCCUACUCUCUACAUUAUUUUAUUUACUAAAUUCUUUAAGCUAUAACUUUAUUGGAAAAACUCUAAAACCUUUAGUUCACUUUUUUUUUAUUCCCAGAUGUAUUGUAGAAACUGAAAAUUUAGAAGAAAGAGUAGCUGUGGUGAGUCGAAUUAUUGAGAUUCUACAAGUCUUUCAAGAGUUGAACAACUUUAAUGGUGUCCUUGAGGUUGUCAGUGCUAUGAAUUCAUCACCUGUUUACAGACUAGACCACACAUUUGAGCAAAUACCAAGUCGCCAGAAGAAAAUUUUAGAAGAAGCUCAUGAAUUGAGUGAAGAUCACUAUAAGAAAUAUUUGGCAAAACUCAGGUCUAUUAAUCCACCAUGUGUGCCUUUCUUUGGAAUUUAUCUCACUAAUAUCUUGAAAACAGAAGAAGGCAACCCUGAGGUCCUAAAAAGACAUGGAAAAGAGCUUAUAAACUUUAG